AUACGGAGGGUGCAAGCGUUAUUCGGAAUCACUGGGCGUAAAGGACGCGUAGGCGGGUUGGCAAGUCAGAUGUGAAAUCCUACAGCUUAACUGUAGAACUGCAUUUGAAACUGCUAACCUAGAGUAUGGGAGGGGGAGAUGGAAUUAGUGGUGUAGGGGUAAAAUCCGUAGAUAUGACUAGGAAUACCGAAAGCGAAGGCGAUCUCCUGGAACAUAACUGACGCUAAGGCGUGAAAGCGUGGGGAGCAAACAGGAUUAGAUACCCCAGUAGUCC
rnacentral:rRNA from 1 species